GAUGAACGCUGGCGGCGUGCCUAAUACAUGCCAGUCAAGCGAACAGACGAGGAGCUUGCUCCUCUGACGUUAGCGGCGGACGGGUGAGUAACACGUGGAUAACCUACCUAUAAGACUGGGAUAACUUCGGGAAACCGGAGCUAAUACCGGAUAAUAUAUUGAACCGCAUGGUUCAAUAGUGAAAGACGGUUUUGCUGUCACUUAUAGAUGGAUCCGCGCCGCAUUAGCUAGUUGGUAAGGUAACGGCCUACCAAGGCAACGAUGCGUAGCCGACCUGAGCGGGUGAUCGGCCACACUGGAACUGAGACACGGUCCAGACUCCUACGGGAGGCAGCAGUAGGGAAUCUUCCGCAAUGGGCGAAAGCCUGACGGAGCAACGCCGCGUGAGUGAUGAAGGUCUUCGGAUCGUAAAACUCUGUUAUUAGGGAAGAACAAAUGUGUAAGUAACUAUGCACGUCUUGACGGUACCUAAUCAGAAAGCCACGGCUAACUCCGUG
rnacentral:rRNA from 1 species